rnacentral:tRNA from 1 species
GCUGUGAUGGCUGAGUGAUCAGGUGUUGGACUUGAAACCCAAUAGGGUAUCCCUGUGCAGGUUCAAAUCCUGGUCACAGUG